GAUGAAGAACGUAGCGAAAUGCGAAAAGUAAUGCGAAUUGCAGAAUUUCCGUGAGUCAUCGAAUCUUUGAACGCACAUUGCGCCCACUGGUAUUCCGGUGGGCAUGCCUGUUCGAGCGUCAUUAUCCUCCCUCAAACCCCGGGUUUGGUGUUGGACCCAAGUUGUGUGAACAACUGGUCUCAAAGACAAUGACGGCGUCCGUGGGACCCUCGGUGCAACGAGCUUUUAGGAGCACGCAUCGAGUUGCAAGGACCUUCCGGGCCGGUCUCCUUUACCAUUUUACAAGGUUGACCUCGGAUCAGGUAGGAAUACCCGCUGAACUUAAGCAUAUCAAUAAGCGGAGGA
rnacentral:misc_RNA from 1 species